rnacentral:rRNA from 1 species
CACGGGGGGGAGCAAGCGUUGUUCGGAUUCAUUGGGCGUAAAGAGCUCGUAGGCCGCUCUGUAAGUCGGAAGUGAAAGACCACGGCUCAACCGUGGAAACGCUUUCGAAACUGUGGAGCUUGAGGCCGGGAGAGGAUGAUUGGAAUUCCUGGUGCUAGCGGUGAAAUGCGUGAGAUAUCAGGAGGAACACCCGUGGGCGAAGGCGAAUCUCUGGACCGGGUU